UCAAAGCAGGCCUACGCUCU
rnacentral:misc_RNA from 1 species